CCUACGGGAGGCAGCAGUGGGGAAUAUUGCGCAAUGGGCGAAAGCCUGACGCAGCGACGCCGCGUGAGGGAUGAAGGUCUUCUGAUCGUAAACCUCUGUCAGCAGGGAAGAACGGUCACUGUGCUAAUCAGCAGUGAAUUGACGGUACCUGCAAAGGCAGCACCGGCUAACUCCGUGCCAGCAGCCGCGGUAAUACGGGGGGUGCGAGCGUUAAUCGGAAUUAAUGGGCGUAAAGCGCUCGUAGGCGGUAUGUCAAGUCAAGGGUGAAAUCCCCGCGCUCAACGUGGGAACUGCCUUUGAAACUGGCAAACUGGAGUGUGUGAGAGGAUAGUGGAAUUCCAGGUGUAGGAGUGAAAUCCGUAGAUAUCUGGCGGAACAUCAGUGGCGAAGGCGACUAACUGGGACAUAACUGACGCUGAGGAGCGAAAGCGUGGGUAGCAAACAGGAUUAGAUACCCCAGUAGUC
rnacentral:rRNA from 1 species